rnacentral:antisense_RNA from 1 species
AAUCAUCAGGUGGUGAAGUCAGCCUGACUUCUGUCCUUCCCUUCAGGGUGGUAAUUAUCCAGUUGAUAUUUAUCUUGUUCCAGUCACCUUAAGAAAGCUGUUUGUAAUUAAUCAAACUCAAUAACAACACAAAAGUAACAACUCAGGUGAAAAGAAAACUCACUUAUGUCUUCAAUGUCCAAUCAACAUUGCCAAAUGGGAGAACAGUUUUGGAAAUCACUAGUGGGUAAAAAAGACCAAUUUGCAACUAGGCUGUCAUGCUCUGUUGAAAACUAUGUCACAAUAUCACAAUACUAGAUGUUGGGCUCAAGACAGCAAACAGAAAGCAGCAAGGGCAGUGACUGGAAGCUGGGAGAGAGGGUCAACAGCUGAAUCUCAGCCUGAUAGAGGCCAC